UACGGGGGGGGCAAGCGUUGUUCGGAAUUACUGGGCGUAAAGGGCUCGUAGGCGGCCAACUAAGUCAGACGUGAAAUCCCUCGGCUUAACCGGGGAACUGCGUCUGAUACUGGAUGGCUCGAGAUUGGGAGAGGGAUGCGGAAUUCCAGGUGUAGCGGUGAAAUGCGUAGAUAUCUGGAGGAACACCGGUGGCGAAGGCGGCAUCCUGGACCGACACUGACGCUGAGGAGCGAAAGCCAGGGGAGCAAACGGG
rnacentral:rRNA from 1 species